AUACGGAGGGUGCAAGCGUUACUCGGAAUCACUGGGCGUAAAGCGCGCGCAGGCGGCUUGAUAAGUUGGAUGUGAAAGCCUACGGCUCAACCGUAGAACUGCAUCCAAAACUGUCAGGCUAGAGUGUGGGAGAGGAAGAUGGAAUUAGUUGUGUAGGGGUAAAAUCCGUAGAGAUAACUAGGAAUACCAAAAGCGAAGGCAAUCUUCUGGAACACUCCUGACGCUGAGGCGCGAAGGCGUGGGGAGCAAACAGGAUUAGAUACCCCGGUAGUCC
rnacentral:rRNA from 1 species